rnacentral:tRNA from 1 species
UUCCUGGUGGUUUAGACGGUAAAGUAUCUGCCUACAAUGCAGGAGACCUGGGUUCGAUCCCUGGGUCGGAAA